UACAGAGGUCUCAAGCGUUGUUCGGAUUCAUUGGGCGUAAAGGGUGCGUAGGCGGCGCGGUAAGUCGGGUGUGAAAUCUCGGGGCUUAACUCCGAAACUGCAUUCGAUACUGCCGUGCUUGAGGACUGGAGAGGAGACUGGAAUUUACGGUGUAGCGGUGAAAUGCGUAGAUAUCGUAAGGGAGACCGGUGGCGAAGGCGACAUCCUGGACCGGUAUUGACGCUGAGGCGCGAAAGCCAGGGGAGCAAACGGG
rnacentral:rRNA from 1 species